GACGAACGCUGGCGGCGUGCUUAACACAUGCAAGUCGAACGGAAAGGCCCUGCUUUUGUGGGGUGCUCGAGUGGCGAACGGGUGAGUAACACGUGAGUAACCUGCCCUUGACUUUGGGAUAACUUCAGGAAACUGGGGCUAAUACCGGAUAGGAGCUCCUGCUGCAUGGUGGGGGUUGGAAAGUUUCGGCGGUUGGGGAUGGACUCGCGGCUUAUCAGCUUGUUGGUGGGGUAGUGGCUUACCAAGGCUUUGACGGGUAGCCGGCCUGAUAGGGUGACCGGCCACAUGGGGACUGAGAUACGGCCCAGACUCCUACGGGGGGCAGCAGUGGAGAAUAUAGCACAAGGGGCGGAAGCCUGAUGCAGCAACGCCGCGUGGGGGAUGACGGCCUUCGGUUUGUAAACCGCUUUCGCCUGAGCCGAAGCGUGAGUGACGGUAAUGGGUAAAGAAGCACCGGCUAACUACGUG
rnacentral:rRNA from 1 species